GUGGUUGUAGCUCAGUGGUAGAAUACUCACCUUCCAUGUGGAAGGCACUGAUUUCGAUCCUCAGCACCACA
rnacentral:tRNA from 1 species